rnacentral:lncRNA from 1 species
GAUAAAUUUCACUUCUUCUUUCAUUGUGUAAUAAAUAAAAGUUUAAGAAAUAAUUACUUCACUGAAAAUGCUUCUCAAAAUCCCAACUUUAUGAGUUGCACUAAUAAAAAAAGCUACAAUAUAUACUUAAUCCAUCAAAUUUUCAACAUGUACAAAGUUUAGGUUCCUUUUUAAAACAGUCAAUGGAACUGAGGUCAGGGGACUCUUAAUAUACCAGGGUUAAAAGUUUUGUGUUAUAUUAUUAUGUUGUAAUUGGUAUUUUGACUUGUCACUAUAUUUUAUACUUGCAACAAUUGAUAUAUAUAUA